rnacentral:sRNA from 1 species
UUGCUAUCUGCGAUAUGGAAGAUUCGAACCUGCCGCAGGUUCGGGUCGAAUGCAGUGAGACAACGGAGCCGUUUACGGCGACGGCCCGAAGGGCGAGCGAAGCGAGUCAUCCUGCACGACCCACCA